rnacentral:rRNA from 1 species
AGAGUUUGAUCCUGGCUCAGGAUGAACGCUAGCGGGAGGCUUAACACAUGCAAGUCGAGGGGCAGCACGAGGUAGCAAUACUUUGGUGGCGACCGGCAGACGGGUGAGUAACGCGUAUGUAACCUGCCCUGUACAGGGGGAUAACCCGGAGAAAUUCGGACUAAUAUCCCAUGGUAAUAUUGGAAGGCAUCUUCUGAUAUUUAAAGUUCCGGCGGUACAGGAGGGGCAUGCGUAACAUUAGCUGGUUGGUAAGGUAACGGCUUACCAAGGCGAUGAUGUUUAGGGGUCCUGAGAGGGUGAUCCCCCACACUGGUACUGAGACACGGACCAGACUCCUACGGGAGGCAGCAGUGAGGAAUAUUGGUCAAUGGGCGCAAGCCUGAACCAGCCAUCCCGCGUGCAGGAAGACGGCCCUAUGGGUUGUAAACUGCUUUUCCAGGGGGAGAAACUUAUGUACGCGUUACGUAACUGACGGUACCCUGGGAAUAAGCAUCGGCUAACUCCGUGCCAGCAGCCGCGGUAAUACGGAGGAUGCGAGCGUUAUCCGGAUUCAUUGGGUUUAAAGGGUGCGUAGGCGGACUAUUAAGUCAGUGGUGAAAUCCUGCAGCUCAACUGUAGAACUGCCGUUGAUACUGAUAGUCUUGAGUUUGGUUAAGGUAGGCGGAAUGUGUAAUGUAGCGGUGAAAUGCUUAGAUAUUACACAGAACACCGAUUGCGUAGGCAGCUUACUGAGCCGACACUGACGCUGAGGCACGAAAGCGUGGGGAUCGAACAGGAUUAGAUACCCUGGUAGUCCACGCCGUAAACGAUGAUUACUCGCUGUUGGCGAUACACUGUCAGCGGCUAAGCAAAAGCAAUAAGUAAUCCACCUGGGGAGUACGGCCGCAAGGCUGAAACUCAAAGGAAUUGACGG